CAAUUCCGGUUGAUCCUGCCGGCGGUCACCGCUAUCGGAGUCCGACUAAGCCAUGCGAGUCGAGAGGGUUCGGCCCUCGGCGCACCGCUCAGUAACACGUGGAUAACCUACCCUCGGGUGGGGGAUAACCUCGGGAAACUGAGGCUAAUACCCCAUAGGCCUGGGAUGCUGGAAUGCUUCCAGGCCGAAAGCUCCGGCGCCCGAGGAUGGGUCUGCGGCCUAUCAGGUUGUAGUGAGGGUAACGGCCUCACUAGCCGACGACGGGUACGGGCCCUGGGAGGGGGAGCCCGGAGAUGGACUCUGAGACAUGAGUCCAGGCCCUACGGGGCGCAGCAGGCGCGAAACCUUCGCAAUGCGCGAAAGCGCGACGAGGGGACUCCGAGUGCCUAUGCUCAGCAUAGGCUGUUCACCGGUGUAAAAAGCCGGUGGAGGAAGGGGUGGACAAGACUGGUGCCAGCCGCCGCGGUAAUACCAGCGCCCCAAGUGGUGAUCGAUAUUAUUGGGUCUAAAACGUCCGUAGCCGGCCCGGUAAAUCUCCGGGUAAAUCGUCCAGCUCAACUGGUCGAAUUCUGGGGAGACUGCCGGGCUUGGGACCGGGAGAGGUCGGAGGUACUCCAGGGGUAGGGGUGAAAUCCUGUAAUCCCUGGGGGACCACCGGUGGCGAAGGCGUCCGACUAGAACGGGUCCGACGGUAAGGGACGAAGGCUAGGGGAGCAAACGGGAUUAGAUACCCCGGUAGUCCUAGCUGUAAACGCUGCGGGCUUGGUGUUGGGGGUCCUUCGAGGGCGCCCAGUGCCGGAGAGAAGUUGUUAAGCCCGCUACCUGGGGAGUACGGCCGCAAGGCUGAAACUUAAAGGAAUUGGCGGGGGAGCACCGCAACGGGAGGAGCGUGCGGUUUAAUUGGAUUCAACGCCGGAAAACUCACCAGGGGCGACUGCCACAUGAAGGUCAGGCUGAUGACCUUACCUGAUUGGCAGAGAGGUGGUGCAUGGCCGUCGUCAGUUCGUACCGUAGGGCGUUCUGUUAAGUCAGAUAACGAACGAGACCCCCGCCCUUAAUUGCGACCACAUCCUUCGGGGUGUGGGCACAUUAAGGGGACCGCCGCUGCUAAAGCGGAGGAAGGAGGGGUCAACGGCAGGUCCGUAUGCCCCGAAUCCCCUGGGCGACACGCGCGCUACAAAGGUUGGGACAGAGGGUUCCCACCCCGAAAGGGGGAGGCAAUCCCGAAACCCAACCGUAGUUCGGAUUGAGGGCUGUAACCCGCCCUCAUGAAGCUGGAUUCCGUAGUAAUCGCGGGUCAACAUCCCGCGGUGAAUAUGCCCCUGCUCCUUGCACACACCGCCCGUCAAACCAUCCGAGUGGAGGCCGGGUGAGGGGCACCUUUUUGGGUGUUUCGAACCUGGUUUCCGCAAGGAGGGUUAAGUCGUAACAAGGUAUCCGUAGGGGAACCUGCGGAUGGAUCACCUCCUA
rnacentral:rRNA from 2 species